GUAAAUAUACAAACUCCACAUAAAAUAAAUAUAGACCCAAUAAUAAUUAAAACGAUAUUGAAUGGAUCAAUUAGAGAAUCAGCCAUUUAUUUUUGUUUGUUCUUUUAAAAGUUUUUUUUUUUCCCCUUUUCUUU
rnacentral:ribozyme from 15 species